rnacentral:rRNA from 1 species
GACGAACGCUGGCGGCGUGCUUAACACAUGCAAGUCGAACGGAAAGGCCCUGCUUUUGUGGGGUGCUCGAGUGGCGAACGGGUGAGUAACACGUGAGUAACCUGCCCUUGACUUUGGGAUAACUUCAGGAAACUGGGGCUAAUACCGGAUAGGAGCUCCUGCUGCAUGGUGGGGGUUGGAAAGUUUCGGCGGUUGGGGAUGGACUCGCGGCUUAUCAGCUUGUUGGUGGGGUAGUGGCUUACCAAGGCUUUGACGGGUAGCCGGCCUGAGAGGGUGACCGGCCAACAUGGGACUGGGGUACGGGCCAGAACCCUACGGGAGGCAGAAGUGGGGAAUAUUGCACAAUGGGCGGAAGCCUGAUGCAGCAACGCCGCGUGCGGGAUGACGGCCUUCGGGUUGUAAACCGCUUUCGCCUGUGACGAAGCGUGAGUGACGGUAAUGGGUAAAGAAGCACCGGCUAACUACGUG